CACCGAUAAAACCAUUUCAAUUCUCACACUGAACCAUUUUACAAAACAGAAGUACGUCUCUCCAUACUAGAAUUUACAUGUGGUAGCAGGAUAUGUAUGAUAUACAGAAAUAAUUACCCAGAAUACAUAAGUAUAUCAGAAUGGCAAAAAAAAUACAGGAUACAUUGAAUGCAUCAGAAAAGUUCAAAAUAUAGAACACAAUAAAGGCAGAGGUACAAGAAAAAGUGCUGUGAGGUCUGAUGGGGGGGAAGUUUGUUACAUUAUUAGAUGAUGGAGUUACAAGGUAAGUAAAAGGCAGUUCUUGCCCCCAAGGAGCUUACAAUCUAAUGGAAGUGAAAACAUAAUAGUGAACAAGCUAUCCACUGGACAAACCGGAACUGAUCAUGGGAAGGCACUGGAAUUAAGAAAGAUUGGGAAAGGCCUCUUUCAGAAAAUGGGAUUUUAACUGGGGUUAGAAGGAAGCCAGGAAGCAUCUCCUAGAGUAGGAAAAACUUUCAGAAGUCUUUAGUCACUUCUCAGAAUAAAGACAUUUAUGCAACAAGACUAGCCAUUAGAUCCCUAGAAGUCAUCUGAUAAAAAAUACCUCAAUUUGGGGCAGCUAGGUGGUACAGUGGAUAGAGCACCAGCCCCUGAAUUCAGGAGGACCCGAGUUCCAAUCUGGCCUCAGACACUCAACACUUCCUGGCUGUGUGACCCUGGGCAAAUCACUUAACCCCAAUUGCCUCAGCCAAAAAAAAAAAAAAAAAAAAACGCAAUUUCAUUUUACAUGUAUAGAAACUGAGCUGUCCCCCAAGAAAAAAAGAAAAAGAAACUGAGGCCCAGAGAAGUUAAGUGCUUUGUCCAAAAGCACAAAGGGAAUAAUUAGCAGGGGCAGAAGUGGCCCCAGAGCUGAUACCCUUUCCAACACACCAAGUUUCCUUUCCAUUCUGAUAAAGUGCUCUGUGAUCCCCUUGCAACGUCAAAGUCAUUCACCUAAAUGAGUUCAAAACACAUAUUGUCCUGGGCUAAAUUAUACAGUGUCCACAGAGUGUGUAUAUUUAUAUACGUUGGCAGGAUGGGAUAUUUUGGGGGCGCCACCACAAUAUUCCAGCAUCCUGUGCCAGCUGAGUUUCUAUCAUUUAAAGUCACGGGCUCCUCGUAUUUGUUUGCAGAAGGGUAUAUCAGGCAGAGCUGAACUCUUAUAGCCAUGAGGCGAAGAGAUAAUUACAUUUGAAGGGAAUAAGUGUGUACUUUUUGCCAAUGGCCCUGCACUGAUUUGGUGAUUACAUCCAUUAUGAGAAAGAAGGGGAGAGGGAGAAAAGGGAAUAAGAGCAAACAACAUUCUUUGGACAGCAUCUUGCUUAGAUGGUGGGUAAUGUGAUAGAAACAAAAUACACAACAUCAGUUGAACUAGUCAACAACAAAUUAUUCUCUUGUUAAAACUUAUUGUGCUCACUGUACCAAGCUAAAGAUUACCCUCUUCAGUAAGAUCCACCCUCUCUGGAGGAAAAAUAGGGAAAACAAAGAGGAUGAAAGAAUCAUGCAAGUGGACGGGAAAUCCACCGAGUCGGUUCAUAACAGUACAUAUGAAAAGACUGUGUACAGAACUGGGCUCGACUAGUCAGGACACUGGGCAGGAUCUUUAGAAGUACCUUCCUGACACAAAAAACCAUCUUUUGAUAAGUUCUAUAGUUACAAAUCACAGGACAUUGCGAUCUCAAAAACCGCAAACCUUAGGUCAUCCAGGCCAAUGAUGAGAGCAUGAGAGGGAGUACGUGGAAUGGGUAGAUCUUCCAUACAAAAUUUAUAGGACCAGAGAAUUAGGAGGGACCUCAGACAUCAUCUUGCCCAAUGUCUUUAUGUGAUUGAUGUGAAAAGUGAGACCUGGGGAGACUAAGUGAGGUGCCCAAGGUCACAUUAGUGAUAACUGGCAAAAUGGUCAAGAAUCACAGAGGAUGAGAAGAUAUAGUGUGUGUGCACUGACAGAUGGAGUAUUAACAGGGAUGAACUCCUGGCCCUCAAAAAGUAUGGAGAGAUACCGUGAACAGACUGCAGCGUCUCUUCCCUCCCGAUUUCGCUGGCAGCGUUGGAGAAAGAUUGCACAAUUUGUAUUUUCACUUUGUCAUUUUUGGAAGUGAAUCACUCUCAAUGCCUGGCUCACAAUGGAAUAAAAACAACUUUUAAUUAGGGGAAUACCAAUAUUAACUUCCAAUAUUAAUAGCAAGGAGGCAAGUAUAAGAGGUCCUUACAUUCCCUUCUUACAUGGAGUGUUUCAGGUUAUUCAAC
ensembl:lncRNA